UGGUUAAUAUUCCAAUACUUCUGUGUAAUGCGAUGAGAGGACGGAGAAGGUUAGGUCAGCCUGGCGUUGGUUGUCCAGGUGGAAGACAGUAGGCAUGCAUCUUAGGCAAAUCCGGGGUGCUCUAUGCUGAGAGUCGAUAGCAAGCCAGUUUACUGGCGAAGUGGCCGAUACCAUACUUCCAAGAAAAGUCUCUAAGCUUCAGUUACACAGGAAUCGUACCCGAAACCGACACAGGUGGUCAGGUCGAGUAGACCAAGGCGCUUGAGAGAACUCUGCUGAAGGAACUAGGCAAAAUGGUACCGUAACUUCGGGAGAAGGUACGCUGCUGAUGGUGAUAGGACUUGCUCCUUGAGCUGUCGGCAGCCGCAGAAACCAGGCCGCUGCAACUGUUUAUUAAAAACAUAGCACUCUGCAAACACGAAAGUGGACGUAUAGGGUGUGAUGCCUGCCCGGUGCUGGAAGGUUAAUUGAUGGGGUUAGCGUAAGCGAAGCUCUUGAUCGAAGCCCCAGUAAACGGCGGCCGUAACUAUAACGGUCCUAAGGUAGCGAAAUUCCUUGUCGGGUAAGUUCCGACCUGCACGAAUGGCAUAAUGAUGGCGGCGCUGUCUCCAGCAGAGGCUCAGUGAAAUCGAAAUCGCUGUGAAGAUGCAGUGUACCCGCGGCUAGACGGAAAGACCCCGUGAACCUUUACUGCAGCUUGACACUGAACUUUGACCUUACUUGUGUAGGAUAGGUGGGAGGCUUUGAAGUAGGGACGCCAGUUCCUAUGGAGCCAUCCUUGAAAUACCACCCUGGUAAUGUUGAGGUUCUAACUCUGACCCAUAAUCUGGGUCGAGGACCGUGUCUGGUGGGUAGUUUGACUGGGGCGGUCUCCUCCUAAAGAGUAACGGAGGAGUACGAAGGUGCGCUCAGCGUGGUCGGAAAUCACGCGUAGAGUAUAAAGGCAAAAGCGCGCUUAACUGCGAGACCCACAAGUCGAGCAGGUACGAAAGUAGGUCUUAGUGAUCCGGUGGUUCUGUAUGGAAGGGCCAUCGCUCAACGGAUAAAAGGUACUCUGGGGAUAACAGGCUGAUACCGCCCAAGAGUUCAUAUCGACGGCGGUGUUUGGCACCUCGAUGUCGGCUCAUCUCAUCCUGGGGCUGAAGCAGGUCCCAAGGGUAUGGCUGUUCGCCAUUUAAAGAGGUACGCGAGCUGGGUUUAGAACGUCGUGAGACAGUUCGGUCCCUAUCUACCGUGGGCGCUGGAAAUUUGAGAGGAUCUGCUCCUAGUACGAGAGGACCAGAGUGGAUGAACCUCUGGUGUACCGGUUGUGACGCCAGUCGCAUCGCCGGGUAGCUAUGUUCGGAAGGGAUAACCGCUGAAAGCAUCUAAGCGGGAAGCCUACCUCAAGAUAAGAUUUCCCCGUGACUUUAUGUCACCUAAAGAGCCGUUCAAGACCAGGACGUUGAUAGGUUGGAUGUGGAAGCAUAGUGAUAUGUGAAGCUGACCAAUACUAAUUGCUCGUGAGGCUUGACUA
rnacentral:rRNA from 1 species